GAUGAACGCUGGCGGCGUGCCUAAUACAUGCAAGUCGAGCGAACAGACGAUGAGCUUGCUCUCCUGACGUUAGCGGCUGACGGGUGAGUAACACGUGGAUAACCUACCUCUAAUACUGGGAUGACAUCGGGAAACCGGAGCUAAUAACAGCUAAUACAUUGAACCGGAUGGUUCAAGAGUGAAUGGCGGCUUUGGUGACACUAUUAGACGGUUCCGGGCCGCAUUAGCUAGUUGGUAAGGUAAAGGCUUACCAAGGCGACGUUGCGUAGCCGACCUGAGAGGGUGAUCGGCCACACUGGAACUGAGACACGGUCCAGACUCCUACGGGAGGCAGCAGUGGGGAAUCUUCCGCAAUGGGCGAAAGCCUGAUGGAGCAACGCCGCGUGAGUGAUGAAGGUCUUCGGAUCGUAAAACUCUGUUAUUAGGGAAGAACAAAUGUGUAAGUAACUAUGCACGUCUUGACGGUACCUAAUCAGAAAGCAACGGCUAACUACGUG
rnacentral:rRNA from 1 species